rnacentral:rRNA from 1 species
CGAACGUAGGUAACCUGCCCAUGUGUCCGGGAUAACUGCUGGAAACGGUAGCUAAAACCGGAUAGGUAUACAGAGCGCAUGCUCAGUAUGUUAAAGCGCCCAUCAAGGCGUGAACAUGGAUGGACCUGCGGCGCAUUAGCUAGUUGGUGAGGUAACGGCCCACCAAGGCGAUGAUGCGUAGCCGGCCUGAGAGGGUAAACGGCCACAUUGGGACUGAGACACGGCCCAA